rnacentral:rRNA from 1 species
AACGAACGCUGGCAGCAGGCUUAACACAUGCAAGUCGAACGCCCCGCAAGGGGCGUGGCGCACGGGUGAGUAACGCGUGGCUAUCUGCCUUUUGGUUCGGAAUAACCCCGGGAAACUGGGGCUAAUACCGGAUGGUUCCUACGGGAUAAAGAUUUAUCGCCAAAAGAUGAGUCCGCGUACGAUUAGCUAGUUGGUGAGGUAAUGGCUCACCAAGGCGACGAUCGUUAGCUGGUCUGAGAGGACGAUCAGCCACACUGGGACUGAGACACGGCCCAGACUCCUACGGGAGGCAGCAGUGGGGAAUAUUGGACAAUGGGGGCAACCCUGAUCCAGCCAUGCCGCGUGAGUGAUGAAGGCCUUCGGGUUGUAAAGCUCUUUUGGCGGGGACGAUGAUGACGGUACCCGCAGAAUAAGCCCCGGCUAACUUCGUG